CUUCAUUACUAACCAGAGAUCAAGCCCUGAGCCUUUGGAGUGGGAGCACUGACUCCAAGAACUAAGACUACCAGAGAACUGACCCUAGGAAGUAUCAAAUAGUGAGAACUCACACAAAGGAAACCACUUGAAUAUAAGACCUGGCAUCAUCCAACCACCAGUAGCACCCUGAGCA